UAUCAAGACAUUUCAGGGGCACCAACUCCUAUAAGAUGCCAUUUAAUUGUAUAAGACUAAAUGUAGCAUAUCUUCAUUACAAUAAAGCUGACAUUUUGCACUUGUUCUUUUAUAUGUAUCUCUCAAAGUGUCGGAGAAAAUGCAAAAACAAGCAAAAGUCACAAUUGAGAACUUGACCUUGACCUUUGACCUUGACCUCAUUUUCUAAGUUAGGACCUAGGGGACUCAAAUAAAAACAUUCCAGGGUUAUACGGUUAACUGUUUAUGAGUUAAAAUAACACUUACCGACAAAUUUAUUUUGUAAAGGUAGAUAACUCCUAUAAAAUUUCAUCGAAUCGCUUCGAUCCAAAUACGCCAAAAAUUACUGAGGAUGUAACGAACAAUUUGUAAAAAGAAUUUUGUCGCUAUCUUUUUUUGUUACGAAGGAGAUGCACACAGAGGAUAAACAGUGAAAUGGGAGAUAACUCUUACAUAGAAAAUGGUUCGCCUUAGCAGGGUGAAAUUUAAAAGCGCAUAAACUAUACGAUACCAUAUGAGAAAUAUCUAAGCGACAUAUUGCGAAACAAACAUUUUGCGCAAGAACAAAAUUUGGCGGAAGAAAAAAAAAAAAUAAUAAUCAGAAGAAAAACAAUAAGUCUUUCCACAGAAAAGUGGAAAGACUUAAUAAUCAGAACAAAAACAAUAAGUCUUUCCACAGAAAAGUGGAAAGACUUAAUAAUAAUAAUAAUAAUAAGAAAUACAAUAAGUCUUUCCACAGAAAAGGGAAAGACUAAUAAUAAUCAGAACAAAAACAAUAAGUCUUUCCACAGAAAAGUGGAAAGACUUAAUAAUAAUCAGAACAAAAACAAUAAGUCUUUCUACAGAAAAGUGGAAAGACUUAAUAAUAAUAAUAAUAAUAAU
rnacentral:lncRNA from 1 species